GUUAAGUUGUAUUGGGUUGUAUUAAGUGGUAUUGGGUUCUGUUAAGUUGUAUUGGGUUGUAUUAAGUUGAAUUGGGUUUUGUUAAGUUGUAUUUGUUUUUUAAUUGUAUUGGGUUGUAUUAAGUUGUAUUGGGUUUUGUUAAGUUGUAUUGGGUUUUAUUAAGUGGUAUUGGGUUCUGUUAAGUUGUAUUGGGUUUUAUUAAGUUGUAUUGGGUUCUGUUAAGUUGUAUUGGGUUUUAUGAAGUUGUAUUGUUUUUUAAAGUUGUAUUGGGUUUUAUUAAGUGGUAUUGGGUUCUGUUAAGUUGUAUUGGGUUUUAUGAAGUUGUAUUGGGUUCUGUUAAGUUGUAUUGGGUUUUAUGAAGUUGUAUUGUUUUUUAAAG
rnacentral:lncRNA from 1 species